CGUCCCCUGUGCCUGCCAGGACCUGGCCACACUGCUGGAGCAGAUCGGGUGUCUGAAGUACCUGCAGGUGUUUGAGGAGCAGGACGUGGACCUCCGCAUCUUUCUGACCCUCACUGAGAGCGACCUGAAGGAAAUCGGCAUCACGUGCGUCCAGAAGGGCCGCUCUGGCCCUCAGCCCGGGGUUGGGGCAAACUCCCACUGACGUAAGCGCUCUUGGGAGGCUGAGGCACGUCCUGGUCACAUUCCCCCUGCAGGCUGUUUGGGCCCAAGAGGAAGAUGACGUCCGCCAUUGCCCGCUGGCACAGCAGUGCCCGCCCGCCCGGGGAUGCCCUGGAGCUGGCCUACGCUGACCGGCUGGAGGCUGAGAUGCAGGAGCUCGCCAUCCAGCUGCACAAACGCUGCGAGGAGGUAGAGGCCACGCGGGGCCAGGUGUGCCAGGAGCAGGAGCUGCGCGCCGUGGUGGAGAGCUGCCUGCUGGAGCAGGACCGCGCCCGCGAGGACCUCCAGGCCCGGCUGCAGGAGACGUGGGCCCUGACCCGGGAUGCUGCCCUCAUCCUGGACCAGCUGCGGUAAGUGGUUCUGAGCUGCCCUGGGCUGGGUCUCCAGUGGUCAGCCACCUGGCCCCUGGGCCCCCAGGCAUCCUUUCCUCCUGAUUUUGUAACUGAGGGGUGGAUUUCAGGGCCUGGAGCCACUCCACCCCCAUUUCAUCAGGACCUUCCUUCCUGCAGGCAGACCCAGGCAGGAGUCAGGGCCGGGAAUCUGCACCGGUCACCCUCCUGCUCUUUAGCGCAGCCUCAUGGGGCACUGGCUCAGCCCAUGAGGGCCAGCUGCAGGGACAGGGCUGAGCCCCUCC
rnacentral:sRNA from 1 species